UCCUACGGGAGGCAGCAGUGAGGAAUAUUGGUCAAUGGGAGAGAUCCUGAACCAGCCAAGCCGCGUGAGGGAAGACGGCCCUAUGGGUUGUAAACCUCUUUUGUCGGAGAACAAAACCCGGGACGUGUCCCGGACUGCGUGUAUCCGAAGAAAAAGCAUCGGAUAACUCCGUGCCAGCAGCCGCGGUAAUACGGAGGAUCCGAGCGUUAUCCGGAUUUAUUGGGUUUAAAGGGGGCGUAGGUGGAUUGUUAAGUCAGUUGUGAAAGU
rnacentral:rRNA from 1 species